GUAGUACUCCCUCCAUUCGGAAUUACUUGUCACGAAAAUGGACGUAUCUAGAACUAAAAUACGUCUAGAUACAUCCAUUUCUGCGACAAGUAAUUCCGAACGGAGGGAGUAUAUA
rnacentral:pre_miRNA from 1 species